rnacentral:rRNA from 1 species
AUGGCCUCCCAACGAGGGCCAACGUCGCCGGCGCCAGUGGCCACCACCACCGCCAUUACUGCUAUCUGCGACGACCUCCUCUGCGAGAUCUUCCUCCGCCUCCCCUCCCUCCCGAGCCUCGUCCGCGCCGCCCUCGCCUGCCGCGCCUUCCUCCAUGCGGUCCGAUCGUCUCCCGCCUUCCGCCGCCGCUUCCGGGCGGUCCACCCGCCCCAAAUCCUUGGAUUCUUCAACGGGCAAACAGGUAUUCAUUCCCUCAUUCCCCUCGACGGCCGGUCCGACCAUGACCUAGCCGCGGCCGUCCACGGCAGCGAUUUCCGCUUCAUCCGGCUCCCGAAAGACAGAGACGAGUCCAGGUCCAGGUGGGAGAUCCUCAAUGGCUGCCGCGACCGCUGCGGCUACGUCUUCCUCUGCAACGAGGACACCAACCAGAUAGCUGCCUACAACCCCCUCAAGUGGGCGCUGUAUAUCUUCCCCUACCCUCCCCAACAGGCAUGCGAUCCCCACUGCCUUGAUUUCCACAUCAUCUUCUCCGAGGAUGGCCAGAGGUCGUUCCGUGUGGUCUGUGUGCAGCAGAAGUUGGCUCGCUUCUCUGUCUUCUUAUCGGAUAGCAGGGAGUGGCAGAGUUUCUCUUGGGUGGCGCAGCCUGGGUACGAUGGAGGCGACAACUGUGUGCUCUCGUCUUACACUGAUACUGUGAUGAACGAAUUUGAUAGAUUAGCCUUCUGGAAAGACAAAAAUACAGGGUAUAUUGUCGUGCUCAACACUGUGACGCUGCAAAUAUCUCGAAUGGAUUUGCCGCAGCCGUUGAAAGAUAAAGACUCCACGCAAUUUGAACUUGGCCGGACCAACGCUGGGAAGCUUUGCAUGGUUUGCGCAGAUGGCUUCGGUGCCGACAAAACAAUGAUCGCGGUUUGGAUUUGGAGAGCCGAUGGUGAUGGUGUUGACAGGUGGAUGCAGCACAAGGUGUUCCCACUGAACACGUUUAUUGACGUCACGACGUGCUCAGCGGAGUAUGGUGUCAUCGUGGUGCAGGUUGUGGUGGUCAUCGAUGGAUUUGUGUUCCUGUGUAUUGAUUUUGGCAGCCUUACCAAGUUCUUCCUGUCUUUCUGCCUGGAAACGGAGAAUGUAAACGAGUUCUUCAAUCAUACAUUUCACAACGAUAUCCAUCCCUAUAUCAUGGCGUGGCCUCCUUCAUUGCUAAGCAACAAGGAGAAUUCAGAAACCAACAUUACUGGAGGCGAUGCGACAGAUGAUGGUCCUAUGGGUACAGAAGAAACUCUCUCUGUUCUCGGUGGCGGAGAAAGCAUCCAAACAAUUCGUGUACAGAGUCCCCUAAAGAUCACAGUUUUACUCGAGCGUAGAAAUUUAUUUAAUGUAUACUGUUCUUGA